CAGCAGUGGCUGCCCAGUCCAGAUGUGGCACUGAGAGCACUCCCCUGCAGGUACUGUAGAGGCCCUAAUUUUUUUUGAACAUUUGCUGAUAGCAUCAGGAUCUGCAGUGGCUGAACAACUGGAAAGCGUUCAUGGUACGGAGAAAGACACGAGACAAAUAUCCAGGUCUCCUGGAAUAUGUAUGGACUAUGGCAUGACUUGCUGGAUAAAUCAUCUUCCACUGAUACAACUGGAAAUCUCAGUCUGCCCAUCAGCAAUUAUACCAUAACACAAGCUGCAGUGACCUGGGUACCAAGCACAAGAACAGAGACAUGUUAAACCAAAAAGGUCUUUUUGGAUGCAUAAAUUGUUCUCCUGACUGCUACCAGACCUGCUAGAAAAACAGUCUAUUUCAUUCACAAGCAGAUCAUUAGGAAGAGCUGCUUUGCCUUACUUCUGGAUUUAAGGAAUAUCCUGUCUUAUGUGCUUCUGUUAUAAGCAACCCUUCUGUGGUUUAUCAGGUGAGUUAAAAUAAAAUCAAGUUACUUUUUUGAGAAAAUACUCA
rnacentral:lncRNA from 1 species